GAUGAACGCUGGCGGCGUGCCUAAUACAUGCAAGUCGAGCGAACAGACGAGGAGCUUGCUCCUCUGACGUUAGCGGCGGACGGGUGAGUAACACGUGGAUAACCUACCUAUAAGACUGGGAUAACUUCGGGAAACCGGAGCUAAUACCGGAUAAUAUAUUGAACCGCAUGGUUCAAUAGUGAAAGACGGUUUUGCUGUCACUUAUAGAUGGAUCCGCGCCGCAUUAGCUAGUUGGUAAGGUAACGGCUUACCAAGGCAACGAUGCGUAGCCGACCUGAGAGGGUGAUCGGCCACACUGGACCUGAGACACGGUCCAGACUCCUACGGGAGGCAGCAGUAGCGAAUCUUCCGCAAUGGGCGAAAGCCUGACGGAGCAACGCCGCGUGAGUGAUGAAGGUCUUCGGAUCGUAAAACUCUGUUAUUAGGGAAGAACAAAUGUGUAAGUAACUAUGCACGUCUUGACGGUACCUAAUCAGAACGCCACGGCUAACUACGUG
rnacentral:rRNA from 1 species